rnacentral:rRNA from 1 species
GCGUAAGGCGCAGGCGGUUAUACAAGACAGGCGUGAAAUCCCCGGGCUUAACCUGGGAAUGGCGCCUGUGACUGUAUAGCUAGAGUGUGUCAGAGGGGGGUAGAAUUCCACGUGUAGCAGUGAAAUGCGUAGAUAUGUGGAGGAAUACCAAUGGCGAAGGCAGCCCCCUGGGAUAACACUGACGCUCAUGCACGAAAGCGUGGGGAGCAAACAGGAUUAGAUACCCUAGU